rnacentral:rRNA from 1 species
GCAAGUCGAACGGAGUUUUAACGGAAGUUUCGGAUGGAAGUUAGAAACUAGUGGCGGACGGGUGAGUAACGCGUGGGUAACCUGCCUCAGUACAGGGGGAUAACAGUUAGAAAUGACUGCUAACACCGCAUAAUAUAGCGAAACCGCAUGAUUUUGCUAUCAAAUAGUUUAUAGGUAUGGAGAUGGGCCCGCGUCUGAUUACGCUAGUUGGUGGGGUAAAGGCCUACCAAGGCGACGAUCAGUAGCCGGCUUGAGAGAGUGACCGGCCACAUUGGGACUGAGACACGGCCCAAACUCCUACGGGAGGCAGCAGUGGGGAAUAUUGGACAAUGGGGGAAACCCUGAUCCAGCGAACCGCCGCGUGAGUGAAGAAGUAUUUCGGUAUGUAAAGGCUCUAUCAGCAGGGAAGAUAAUGACAGUACCUGACUAAGAAGCCCCGGCUAACUACGUGCCAGCCGCAGC